AUGCAACUCGUACCCCGCUCUUCCGCCGCCCACUUACAAAACAAAUGCCAGUUGCAACCAGGUGUGUCGGCAUGCAGUUGCAACCGUGUGUGUAGGAAAGCAAUUGCACUUGAGGGCGACACCUGUAGUUGCAAGCCUACUAUUGGACAUGCAACUAACCCCUUCCCCUCUCCGACCAAAAAUGCAAGGCCAGUUGCAGCAGUGAGGCGACAUGCAUUUGCGGUCAAGCGCAACACUUGCAGUUGCAAGUAUAGUAUCGAACAUGCAUCUCGCACCCCUCUCUUGCCGCCCCUUACCAAAAGAAUGUCAGUUGCAACUUGGUAUGUGGGCAUGCAAUUGCAGUCAAGAACAAUGCUUAAAGUUGCAAGCCUAAUGUUGGACAUGUAA
rnacentral:rRNA from 1 species